rnacentral:rRNA from 1 species
AUUGAACGCUGGCGGCAGGCCUAACACAUGCAAGUCGAGCGGAUGAAGGGAGCUUGCUCCUGGAUUCAGCGGCGGACGGGUGAGUAAUGCCUAGGAAUCUGCCUGGUAGUGGGGGAUAACGUCCGGAAACGGGCGCUAAUACCGCAUACGUCCUGAGGGAGAAAGUGGGGGAUCUUCGGACCUCACGCUAUCAGAUGAGCCUAGGUCGGAUUAGCUAGUUGGUGGGGUAAAGGCCUACCAAGGCGACGAUCCGUAACUGGUCUGAGAGGAUGAUCAGUCACACUGGAACUGAGACACGGUCAAGACUCCUACGGGAGGCAGCAGUGGGGAAUAUUGGACAAUGGGCGAAAGCCUGAUCCAGCCAUGCCGCGUGUGUGAAGAAGGUCUUCGGAUUGUAAAGCACUUUAAGUUGGGAGGAAGGGCAGUAAGUUAAUACCUUGCCGUUUUGACGUUACCAACAGAAUAAGCACCGGCUAACUUCGUG